UCCCCUGUAGUUCAAUGGUAGAACACCUCGCUGUUAACGAGGACGUUGUAGGUUCGAGUCCUACCGGGGGAGCCA
rnacentral:tRNA from 1 species